GACAGAGGUGCCGAGCGUUAGGCGGAAUCACUGGGCUUAAAGCGUGUGUAGGCGGGUCGUUAAGUACCUUGUGAAAUCCCACGGCUCAACCGUGGAACUGCUGGGUAUACUGGCGAUCUUGAGCCACCUAGGGGCGAGCGGAACAAACGGUGGAGCGGUGAAAUGCGUAGAUAUCGGGAAGAACACCCGUGGCGAAGGCGGCUCUCUGGGUCGUACCUGACGCUGAGGCGCGAAAGCGUGGGGAGCGAACGGG
rnacentral:rRNA from 1 species